AAAAUUUCUUUAUUUUUUUUUCCUUUUUCUUUUCUUUUCUUUUCUCUCUUUUUCUUCCUCCCGUGCGCCGCGACCCCCAUCCGUUCUCUUCUCCUUCCCGUUCGCAGCAACCGCCGCCUUAUCCGUUCUCUUCUCCUUCCCGUUCGCAGCAACCGUCGCCCCAUCCGUUCUCUUCUCCUUCCCGUUCGCAGCAACAACCGCCGACC
rnacentral:lncRNA from 1 species